GCCAGGCGUGGUGGUGGGUGCCUGUAGUCCCAGCUACUCAGGAGGCUGAGGUGGGAGGAUCGCUGGAGUCAGGUGUUCUGGGCUGCAGAGUGCUAUGCCGAUCAGGUGGGUGUCCGCACUCAAUUCAGCAUCAAUAUAGUGACCUCCCGGGAGCAGGGGACCACCAGCUUGCCUAAAGAGGGGUGAACUGGCCCAGGUUGGAAAUGGAGCAGGUCAAAAGAAAGGUAUAUAUCUUUGGUUUUUAAAUAGAGUUUUCAGGCCUGGAUUUUAGUUCAUCAUCCACAUUCU
rnacentral:SRP_RNA from 1 species